rnacentral:rRNA from 1 species
UGCCAGCCGCCGCGGUAAUACGAACUGUGCAAACGUUAUUCGGAAUCACUGGGCUUAAAGGGUGCGUAGGCGGAUCUGAAGGUCCGAUGUGAAAGCCCACGGCUCAACCGUGGAGUUGCGUCGGAAACCACAAAUCUUGAGGAAGUCAGAGGUAAGCGGAACUGAUGGUGGAGCGGUGAAAUGCGUUGAUAUCAUCAGGAACACCGGUGGCGAAAGCGGCUUACUGGGACUUUUCUGACGCUGAGGCACGAAAGCUAGGGGAGCGAACGGGAUUAGAUA